UGGCUCAGAACGAACGCUGGCGGCAUGCCUAACACAUGCAAGUCGAACGAGAUCUUCGGAUCUAGUGGCGCACGGGUGAGUAACACGUGGGAACCUGCCCUUCGGUACGGAAUAACAUCGGGAAACUGAUGCUAAUACCGUAUAUGCCUUGCGGUGAAAGAUUUAUCGCCGGAGGAGGGGCCCGCGUCUGAUUAGGUAGUUGGUAGGGUAACGGCCUACCAAGCCGACGAUCAGUAGCUGGUCUGAGAGGAUGAUCAGCCACACUGGGACUGAGACACGGCCCAGACUCCUACGGGAGGCAGCAGUGGGGAAUAUUGGACAAUGGGGGCAACCCUGAUCCAGCAAUGCCGCGUGAGUGAUGAAGGCCUUCGGGGUUGUAAAGGCUCUUUUGGGCGGGGGACGAUGAUGACGGGUACCGCAGAAUAAGCCCCGGGCUAACUUCGUGCCAGCCGCCGCGGGUAAC
rnacentral:rRNA from 1 species